UUACCUCGUAAAGCUGUACUCACUGGUA
rnacentral:piRNA from 1 species